GUUCUGUGGUAAAAUCAACAUGGAGAGGCCUUGGUAAGGGUGUAACCACCAAUGUCCUACAGUUUGAGAAAGAAAGUGUGUAAUGCUACCAGAGUCCACAACCUGAUUGUUCUGCCAAUCCUAAUUUGUAAAAAGGACAAAAACUGUAUUGAAAUAAUUCAAUAGAACAAACUAUUUGCAUAUGCCAGCUCUCUUAUUAAUCUCUUCUUCUGCUCUUAAAGGCCACUGAUGUCUCAGCUUGAACCAAUUACUGCAUUGUACAGCUCAUCACACAGACCAUUUUUAUUCCCUCCUUUUCUUCAGAGCUGAGCCUCAUUAAUGGGAUAUGUGACAGGCCCAGUCAGUGCUAAAUCCAAACUCACAGGUUAGUUCUGUAUUUAGAAGCAACCUUAGGUUUUUUGAACUUUUAUUCAACACAAAAGCAUCCUCUUGGCAUGCUUUAAUGGAUUUGUGCUACAGUUCUAUGCUCAUCUUUUUUCUUCCAUAAUUGCCUUUUAUAAACAUAUACACACAUAUGUAUGUUUAUAUAAUUCCAUACUGCCUCAGAACCUCUUUCAGUACACUGAUAAAACAUCAAAAAGGUAUUUUUCAAUGAAUUGAAAAGAUCCUUGCACUUUUUUUCACUCUACUAUUCUAUAUGGAAUAGACGCUUGAUGAGAAAAUGCAGCUGUAACAUAUCUUUAAGCCUGUAUCAAUCUGAAUAGACAUAGGUCCUAUUUCUCUGUAUUCUUCUUGUUUUUCAGUUUUAACUCUCUUGUAAAGCCUCUUAGAUAUAUGAGGAAAUAAGCUAUAGUUUGUCCACAAAAGCUUUUAAAGAAAAAUGAGUACUUGAGCUUUUCCAAGUCAGAACAUUUCUACUGUAACAUUUCAACAUAAACACAUAGCAAUGGCUUAUAUGCUAAUUUAACUCCUCAAGAGUAAAAGAAAGACUUUCAAAGGCAGUGUAAUGUGUGCACUGUGGACUUCUAGCACAGCCCCAUUGUGCAGUGCCCCGACCACAGUGCUUUCAGCACUGGUCCACUGGCACUCCUUGAUAAGGCAGAUCCUAGCAGUGCUCUGCUGCUCAUUGUAGCCUUUCAGUGCAGAGAAUCCCUUUAAGCUUCACUCUCAUUGCCGGCUUCCAUCAGAAAAUGGAAACCAAAAUGUAUGACCACAGUAGCUCAGGAGUGGUGCCAGCCUUUGCCUGUCUGGCUGCAUGCCCUAAGUUAUAGGGGGGAUCUUUUGAGGGAAACCUGAAAAAGCUGCAGUCUUUUACAAUCACAUUUUAAAAGGAAAAGAAAUGCUGGCUAUGCGCCUUUUACUUCCCAGUGACUUCUGUGACACAUCUGGGAGCAAAUCCCUGCCAGAGGGCAGGGCACAGUGCUGAGGAUAGAGUGGCUGUGCUCAGGUGUUUGAUGACGGGAUCACCUCCUCAGGUGAUGUUGCUGUAUGCACACAGCCCAUGGCAGAGCAUGGCAUCUUCCUGGCUCUGUGAGGUGACUGAAGUACUUUUUUUUAAAAUUAAAAAAAAAAAAAAAAAAGGAAAAAACCAAAACUCCAUGGCUGUUUGAAGGAGCACAGUUUGACAGACUGAGGUGUGCAAAGUGGCAUUGAUGUAUGCAGGAAUUUUAGCAGUACUUUUGCUCUCCAAGUCACCUCUCAAGCCACUGAAGUGUUGCGUAGUGUGCCAGUUCACAUUUCAACAGGAAAGCUUUACCUUUCUCCUUCCUUGGUGCAUAAGCAACACACUCUUUAGAAGACCUAAAAUUCCCAUUGAUUGUGCAACAAGACAGCAAUCCGUGUCUUAUGGUGAGGGACAGGGUUAUUCCACUGGCUCUUACCAUCAGUAACAGACUCCAAGUAUAUUAGUACAUAGUUUAAGAGGAAUUAUCAUCCUUUUAAUAGAUCACAUACUGAGUCACAAGUUACAUAUUCAACAGAAAAUCAAGCUAAUUGUUCACUUAUUCUAACAUAUCCCUGAAGGAUAAUCAACCUCUGCAGAGCUGUUUCUUAGUUGGAAACUAAAUAAUUAAGCUGAAGUAAUGCAUUUCUCUUUCAAAAUUCUCUCUGUAUUUCCUUUUAUUCUUCUUUGCACCAAACACAUCAGUAUGAACAUAAGCCAUCGACUUUAAUUAAAAAUUAAAAUUAGCUUGAGUUUUGUUUUGUGAAAUCCAUAGAUGAAAAACAAAAGAGACUGUCAAGACAAGAAAAGAAAACAUGGCAACCUUCCUGCCACACCUCAUCUUUACCUUUUACGCAGCUAACUGAUCGUGCCGCUUGGCAACACCUCUAGAGCCUCCUGGAGGAUCUGUCAUACAUGGGAUUCUGCUAGUGACACUGGCUGCACAUGCUGUAAAGAAAGAAAUGGACAGUGAUAUUAAAAUGAUAGAUCUGUGAAGCCCCCAGAUUUGAUAGAAUCUUCUUUAUUAAUUUAAUCUAUUACUGGCUAAUUGCUUAGAUACUGUAAACCUGCAAAGGUCAAUUCUUGAAAUCACCAAACAAUAAAAAGGUAUGAACAGCUAACAAGUCCUAAUACGAUCAGAAUGUUAAUCAAUAGUCUAAAUGAAGCCUUGUAUUGCCAGCGAUGCAUGAAAAUAUAUUAUUGUUGUGGACUACAGGCAUGGGUUCCGCUGAAACCGAUAAAAUACAAAGCUAUGUAUUUAGAAACAAAUGCAGUAUGAACAGCAUCUGUAAAUACUGACUGCGCAAUGAAUGGUUUCAAGAGAGCAUCUGCAAGGAGCCACUUCAUCACAAAGCAACUUCUUGCACAAGCCAAAAAAAAAUAGGAAAAACAGUGUUGAUGCAGUACCUGACAAUGGCCAGCUCUGAACUACACAGACGUAAGGUGAGAAGCUGUUUAUACAUAUAAAUAAUGCAUUGUAAAGGUAUGUGAAUAUUUUUAUAUAUAAAACUUUCAUAAAAUCACUUAUCAACCUGCAGCCUGACACCAGCCAGUCUCCCUCAGCUGCUCUGCUCAGCCUGUGGUGCCAGGAGGACAGUUACCUCAGUGCCCACCGCUGCAGCAGGAAGCGCACUCAUCACUCAGCCUUCACUUCGAUGGAUUUUUUACGCCCAGUUAGUCAAGCCCUGUUUUCUUGAGAUUUUUAACUUCUUCUAAGGAAUUUUAAGCAAAAAUUACAGUUUUGAUCCAUCUCUGAACUCCAAAAGGCUGCAGAGCAGUGUUCUGUUUGUAGGAGCAAUUUAGUUUUAUUAAGCAGCGUGACACAGAUGAAGCGAACUGAGCUCAGCUUGGUGCAGCACUUUGCAGCAGUCAGCAGCAAGCGCCCAUCAGUCUAGAACUUGAUUGCCCAGAGACACACUGCAAGGAAAGGUGUUGAAGAUCCCUCUUCUCACUUACAUGACAGCCAGGCUAGACACCCCAUGUCACAUCAUUGAAGGAAUUUCUCAUGGCGGAAAAGGUUUGGCAAACUAUGCUUCUCAGGAAAUACUUUUGUAUUUCACUGUUUUCAUUAAACCUCUUUGCCAGACUUCUGUUUGUGGAGGUCAUUUCAUUUUCAUAGCAUUGUGAUAAUGUAUUUUACAAGCAGUGUAGGCAGCACUUACUGUGAAGCCUGUAUUUCUUAGUUUCUCUUGCUGGUGGGAAAAUGGAACACUUAAAAACAGUUGGCAACACAAAGAGUCAGACCUGCUACAGGCAGGCCUUCAAUUGCUUUUGUAAAAAGGUCCAUUAGGAGGUUUGAUCUGAGCAAGGAGGUCUUGGAGUUUACUGUAUCAGUGUGAUUCCUUCUCACAUAAAUCCUGCUUACAAAUUUUAGAAGUAAUGAAUUAGAGAAAUCUGGUUUUCAGGGACAGGCAUGGAUGCUGGGAAUAUAUAAUAAUGCACUCUUAUGUUUUCGGUAGAAAAAAGGGAAGCAUUAUUCUUUCUGAACAUUUCCUUCCUCUUUAUAUCUUCAGAUACUCUGCUUUCUCUAAGGUCAUUGCAUGAAUUUAAGAUACACCAUUCUGGAAACUAAAUUAGCCCUCAUUUACUGGGAAGUUGAAUGCAGUCAGACUAAUGGUGGUGCAAAUAUAAUUGGUUCCCAACAUGUGUCAGUGUGUAUACUCCUCAAGCCACGGAAAAGAUGCAUUAUGGGACUAAUUUUUAAAUGUUAAUGGAUAUUGGAUGUUUGCCAGACACCCAGCUGUGCACAAAACAUUGAGAUGGUAAAUAGCUCUUGAUCUGUUUAGAAACAAAUUAUAAUGGCUGUUUGGAUUCCACAUGACUGAAGGCAUGGUAACCAGCACAGGCUCACAGACUGACCCUAUUAACUGCACUGAGGGGAAUGCUCCAAUUUUUAAAAUCAAGAUAAGAGACAUAAAAUAAGGCUAUUAAGAUGGUGUUUAAAUUAUUUUAGAUUAAUAUUAAACAGAAUCCCAGCAGCUACCCAUAGCACCUGUUACCGUUGCCUUAGUAAGUUCAGGCAGCUUUUUGCUGCAGUUGUUUUGUAGGAAGUCAGAAAGAUGAUGUUUUCUUCUCUCAGUUAAUUUGACUCUAAAGCUGAGAUCUGAAUGAAGUCCUUACAUGCAGUUAGAGAAAGAAUUCUCUCCUGCUACACAUCAACAACAAGUCUCCCUGAGCUGCACCAGCAAAUGAGCUGACUUCUCAUUUGAUGUGCUAUUCUCUCUUUUAUUUUAAUAUUAAGACCUAUGAAUGUGACUAUUUGCAGGACAGUCUCUACUUGAAAAGUCUGACUAGUUGCUUUCAUUUGGUCUGCAGAGUCCAGCAGAGAACUGUUGGAUUGUUGAACAAUCAGGUAUUAUUAUCAGGUGGAUUAGGCACUUUUUAUUUCUGUAUUUCUGUAGUAUUAUAGGAAAGUGUCAUUUACAACAAUGGAAGAGAUCUCUUUUCCAUGAAGUUGUGUGGUCAGCAGGUUGAGAAUCCUUUUCACAAAUAAAAAAAAGCAAUUAAGGGUAUAUUCAGGGGACCCUUCCUCUAUGGGAAUGUAUUUUUUGUGUUUGAAAAAUUAUGAAAGGAGCUUUCCAGCUUAGGGAGUGAUCAGUCCAUUUCAGAGUACAAAAGAUACUACAGUUUCUCUGUAAAAACAAACAAACAAAAACAAAAACAACUCAAAUCUAUCCAAAAACUGUGUAUAUAAUGACUGAUGCUAAGUUAGGGCGAUUCUCCAGGUAACUUUGAGACUGCAGUUUUGUAUCUUGAAUUAGUGCUUUUUGACAUCUAUUCUGCAUAACUGUUUAUAACUGAGUGCUGCCUGCUGGUUUUGGUACCUUACAUAGAUUGUUCUCUAUGAUCUGAAAUGUGCUAAUGAAUUCGGAAAGGAAGCUUGAAUAUCACCUUUUCUAUUUCUUCAAAGUUAAUUUUCUUUGCCUUCUCAAAAGGACAUGCCUUUCAUCAAAUUUAGAACAUUUCCAAAAAUAUCACCAUCCUGGCCAUUAGGAAACGUGAAAUUCUAGGAGGCACAAUCAAAACAUGCCAGGGAAUUUUUUUUUCCCCCUCUUUUUCCAUUUCACCAAUCUAAAGUGCUUUUAAAAAAGAAAGAAUGAAAGCCAGUGAACAAAAGACCUCUCCUCAGCCCUGGGAACUGGCUUGGCAUGCCAUGAGCCAAGGUUUGCCCAUCCAUGGAGAUGUCCCCCAUGUCUGCUGUCACCCCAUGCAGGAGGAUGGCAUCACUACCUCCCUGCACAGCCCUGGCAGUAGGAUCUGUGCCUCACUGCCAUGCCGAGCUGCCAAUUCAUGCCUCCUCUGCCAUCAUCAACAGACGCAGCAAGCCAAUGCCCCGCUGUAACAAAAAGGUGAAAAUGAGCUUAUUGUCCAUUGCUCAUCCUGGCUUGGGGUUUACAAGGAGCAUGCAAUUGGCACUACAGGCAAUUCACACACCUCUAAAAGGCUAUAAUAUGUUCCAUCCUAGCUGCAAGCAGACAAACAAGUGGGUUUUCUCUUUCCUAGGAACCCACUGGUUCACCGUCAGGAUUCAGACAGCACGGCUACCUCUAGGACCAAGCUAGACCUUCAUUUACAUUAGCAUGAAUCUCAAAUAAUUCCACUAAUGCUAGAGAUCUUAUUUUUAAUUUUCAAAAGCAAAUGAGAACAGAGUCUAACCAGAAGCAUUCAGGGUUUGAACGACCUACAUCCAAAGCGUGUUUUCACAGAUGCAAAGUAAUUUCAUUAUAGUACUUUGAAAAAUCUUUUACUUGCAUAACUUGUUUCCAUUUCUUUUUAGUGUAAUGAGAUUUCAUGAUGAAAGCCAAAUACAAUCUAGUAUAGCAAAAGUGCAUGUUACGCUGAUCCUAAUAAGCCCAAUGAAAAUCAAUAAUGCUGCUAGUUUCCCUGAAAUCAGGCUCCAUAAGCUCCAAGCACCGUGUUCUGCCUAAAGCAGAGUAUUAGCAGCUUAUAAAAGACAGAUAUUUCCUAGUAGAAAACCUGAAAACAAUUACACUUGAGGAAAAAAAUAGUUAUUAUAAAAAACAAGAAUAACAGGAGAUAGUUGCCUCCUAUCCUUAAACUGCUGGCAAAUGCUCCAUUCCCUUCUAGUCCCCAGCCAUAACCAAACUGUCUCAAUGGCUGCAGCCUAUGUGACGUGAGUCCUCAGCCCAACUUCCUUCCCCAGUACGAAUAGAACAAUACUGUCCACUUUGUUUGCUGAAUAAGAACAAGAGAUUUUGCUCUUAGAGCAGAGAGCCUACAGUCACUGGCAUAAAAAUAUAACAAAAAUGGGGAUGAAAAAAAAAAAAAACCACUAAAAAAAAUCAGGCAGCCCGCUAUCAGUUUUGAAAGCAUGAAUGUAUCUUAUGUCACAUUUCGCUCCUUUUGCUUCUCGCUUGCUGUAAUGGGCAAUACUGAAUUAAGAAUGGAAAGCAGGGCAGAUCUGAGAGCGAAGAUGAAGAUGAGAACACAGUCACAUGCCAGAACACAGGGACAGGCAGGAACCGCUAUGCUUAACCUUAUGUAGUAUGUCAGAGAAUAAUACCCAUGAUUACGGAGGGUUUCAUACUUCAUGUAUUUCAAACAAGGAUCUUCUCUGAGAUUUGCCUCCUUAAAUAAGCUAAUAAACGCAGAAAACUCCAAACACCAUUUCCAUUGCAUUAGUAAGCAUUUGCUUCCCCCCCCCCUCUGCAUAAGAUAAUGUUUCUGUGUAAUGAUCUACCUUAUGAAUGACCUGGGGAAAUAAUUUCAGGUUUCUUUAAAAUGCAACCAUUUGUUUCUUACUAGUGAGUUCAAUUUCACUAAAAGUUACAGAGCGAACGGCAGCAGGCUCUUUGCAAUAUUGAUAGCCAAAGGUGCAUAAUUACUUCCAGUUUACUAUUAAAACAAUAGUUAAAUAAUUCAGCAUGCCGUUGCUUUUUUCACUUUUUAAUGAUAUACUAUUAACAGGUUGACAGAUCUGCAAGAGUGAGGCAUUUUAUGAAUUUUUUGAAUUAGGAAACUCUUACGGAAGCAAAUGUAAGCACGAGCUUUUAUUUUUGUAUAAUUUUUGCAUUAUAAAGUCUUCCCUCAGAACAGGAAUAUAUUGAAUAUUUGCAAGUGUAUAACUUCAUGCGAGCAGCGUGUUUGUAUUUAUUUACUAAAUAUAAGUGCACAGAUUCCAAACACAACCAUCUUACGCACUGACUGCAGACACGGACCACAAAAAACCAGGUGCCAUGGAUACAUGGGAGAUGUACCCUGGCUAUGGCAGGGGGUGGGGCAUGGCUCCAUCCUGCUAGUUCAUAGGUUGUAACAGCUUGUGCCCAUACAUCACAGGUGUACAGUACUGUUGCUAUGGAUACUGCUCAAAUGAGCAGGAAAUUUCGUUUUGAUAAAGUUAUAUUCUUGAGCAGAGGAAGAAGCAUCAAAUAUGGCGUUUGUUAACGUUUGACACACACCCUGUAAGAAACAACAGACUUGCUUAAACAGGAAGCAUAUUUUCUCCUAGUGGUGUCAACACCAUGGAAGCAGGCUAUGCAGAUGGGAGCAUCGCUGUAACAAGGCUGCUAUUUCCCUGCAGAGUCCAGUAGCGGAACUACGGGCCAGGAGAGCAUUUGCACUGCUCCACAGGUUAAAAGGAGACUUACUUUGGCUGUGAAUAGAAGCGAGAUCAAGCCCUAAGAACAACUCUUCCCUAGGGGACCAGGAUAUGCUGAUGUGAGAGAUUGCUUCAGCAAGCAGAAAAACGAGCUGGAACUUCUCCUACUUUUGUUUUGUCCUUUGCAUUUUUCAUACUCUCUAUUGACAGUUUCUAGAUGUGCAGCAUUCAGUGGCUGGUGAUCCUUCCUACGCCUAUGUACUUCGCUGUCUACAGCCCUAUUAAUCCCAGAUUUAUUAGCUAGUUUUUCAGUCGCUUACACUGCCAGCUUCCCAAGAGACAAACACAUUCCUAUGUGAAGAUGCACCAAAAAGACAGUAAUGGAGAAAAGUACAAUCCAUCUCACUCUUUCAAACUAAGAACACUUAAACAAAAAGCACACAUUCUACAUGCAUCCAACAAAGCUCUAAAACUAAGACACACAUAGCCAAGUCUAGUAUUCUUUUUAGCCUUCUCUUACCAUUUUGUACUGUUGAGGGAGAGAGAAGAAAUAUGUCGACUUACAGAAAAAGUUCAUAAUGGAUACUGAAAAAAGAGAAUAUAAUAGCAGUAACAGCAAGGAUAUGUUGUUUUGCGUGAUUGGAGCUCAGCUAUGAAAUACAUUGAAUGAAUAUUAUUUGCAUCUCUGCACUAAGAAACUAUUGCAAUGGCAUGCUGAAAUUUAAGUGGAGGGCACAGUGUCUAAUAUAUGGACAGAGACUUGAUUCAUCUCCUACACGUGGAGACAGCCGUGACAUAAAAGCCAUGUUCAUGUUCUUGAACAUUAGUGAAACUGAUUCUAAGCAUCAACCUGAGAUUGGAAACUAUGAAGACUAUAGCAGGAGAGAAGAUGAAAUAUUUAGGCAGGUGCAAAUAUAGAGGUAGGUUUUUUUGGCUCACAUAUAAAGUGAUGAAACUUUUCUAAAAGAUAAUGAACACUUAUGUAUUCUCUUUGUGUAAACAAAAGAUUUAUUUCUUAGGCAUGUUUCUACAGUUAGGAUACAUUUGAAGAAUAAUCAUUGUUCUCAAAAGCCUUCAAAACAUAUUCAUCUUCCUGCAUGAUUUGCUCCAGGGUUAGUUCACCAGGCAACAUAAUGAAACAUUAGUUGCCUCAGUGUUGCUGAGUCUAUUUUAAACAAAACCUUUUCCCGUGUUAUCCCCCGUGUGCAUCUUUGACAUUUAAAAGACUGGGGAAGUAGUUUUAUAUUACCUUGUGAGGAAAAAAAGAGAAUGCAUGUAAAACUGUAAAAUGUUAUAGGGAGAAGAGGAAUGCUGUGUGGCCAAGGUUACGUCUGGAAUUUCAGAAACCAUUGUUGAAUAUCUAAACAUCCCAUAGACAACCCAUGUUUUACCUACCAAUGCUGCCAAGGACUCCAGUACCCAUUACAAUGAACUUGGAGAUGCACUUGGGACACACAAAACCUGUUAAAUAAUUUGCAACAAGUUUAAAUGAAAAACAGUCUGAAAGAAGGCUUUCGCCCAUGCCUCUCCUUGGUAAAGUGGCAAGAUGUAAAAGCAGACAAAAGGUUAGCAAAAAACAAUGUACAGAGUGGGCUACUGAAGCAGUCUGUUUCGCUUGCUGAACAAGCCCAUUACGUAUUGAAAGAAAUAAAAGAAGAAGGGAGGAACUAGGAGUACUUGAAGUGUGACAGUAGUUUACAAUAAUUGCAACUUAAUUCUAACGGAUCUUUUCCCAACUGUAUUUUUUCUUUUCAUUUACUUAGUUCCAAGUUCAGUAGAGCUCUUUAAAAAGAAUGGAAAAGCAAUUUGCAACAGGCUCACAUGAAGCAACUGGAACAUAAUUUUUGUUUAGAAUUUCCUUGUGAAGAUGUUGAAUCUGCCAAGUCUCAUCAUACACAGAGCCAUGCAAGCCUUGAGGAAAGUGUUUGUAGGUGUGGGGUAUCCCUGUGUGCAGGUGCAGUCCCACAGCAGUUAAUUCCUGAUACCUACCUACAUCUUGGUGUGCACACAGUCAUCAAAAGUUAUUAGUGCAGACCAUCUAGCUUAGCAUGCUCUAAUCAGUCCCUUUAGAGACAACUGCAGGAAUAAUUUGUAGAAGUAUGUAACAGUUACUGAGAAUGCUCAUUAACACUGUGUUAAUGAGCACUGGUGAUAGCCCUGUGGAUGAGCCAUGUAGAUCUGGUCAAAACCAAAGUGUAGAACUAAAGUUUUGCACCUGUCCAAUAACUCCUACUGCCCAGUCAGAUUCUUUGGCUCCUCACAGAUCAGUUCCAGGGAUGCUGACAUGCCAGAAUGUGAACUUACCAGUACACAUGGCUUUGCUCAGCCCCAGUGCAGCUUGGCUUCCCCUUUGGCUAAGAUAACAAACUGCUUGUAGACCCGUCCGGCAAACACUGAGGACAUGAGCACGACAGGCUGGUCUGCUACACAGGCUGUCCCAGAGCACGCUGCUUUGACUCAACACCACAGGCUCACAGGAAACUGAAAAGCUGCCAGCCUGGGUUGGAGUUUCCAUUGGAUAAGAGAAGCUCCAUAAGGCUUUCUGUUGAGGAAAGUGUGACGGGAGCAGCUGGGUACCCGUUUAUGACACUGAAAUCUGAAGCAGUAAUUUCUGAGAUAAUCUCAAGAAACUCAAAGGUUACCUGCAGAUGAAAGACCAGGGAAUAUGAAUAUGAAUGCAUUUAUAAUUAAGAUCUCAAGCCAGACAAUCUGCUGGAACACACCAACAACAGAUUCUACAAACUACCUGCUGAAGACAAGGUGACAAGUGUUCCAUGUAGGGGUAUACACAAAGACAUUUUUAAGUGUUAAUUCCUACAAGUUACACAGCCUUCUCCCUUUGUCUUUAAUGUUGUAAGAUUUAAGGAUUUUUAAAAGCUUUCAAACAGCAGUGUCUGAGUGGUGCUUAAUCAGUGGGGUCAGCAAUGUGCAGAAGGCAGCUAAGCCUGUUAGGUUCUGUCACAGCAGAUCAGAUCUACCUGUUCCUCUUCAUUUGUUCUGCCUGUUGUACAUAGGAACUUUUCCAAAUGAAAUAAGAGUGAAUGCAUUUAUUUAUUUUUAACUUCUGCUGCUCCAUUUAUGCUCUCUAUUGUAAGAUUUCAUCAUUCUGAUUUCUAGAUAAUGAAGUUGUGGCAUAAAAGCAAUUUUCGGUUCAAGAAAAAAAAAAUCAAUCAUAUUAAUUCUACAUGUUGUUUCCAUGGUCAGUACCAAUUACUAUGCAACUAUAUUAAGUCUAAGAAUAAACAAA